AGGCUGAAGCUGCAGUCUUUUCACCCACCGCUUUCCCGUGAGUUGUUUUAAUCUUGAAGGUGUCUCAUUUUCCCUGUGGAGGUGGCUGCCUUCCUAGAGGGUAAACUUCCAGAUUGCUGACCGUAAGCUCAGAAGAUAACUAUGGAGGUACUGGCCAGGGAGAGUCUGAUUUCCUCAAAUACUCUAGACUAGAGGGAAAUGGUAUCCUCUUAAGGAAAAAAUCGCGGGGGUAUUCAUAAGACCCGCAUGGUUGGCGCAUACUCUGGUGUGAAGGUGGGACUCCGCGAAGACGUCGCACAGUACCUGGAAUUGUGUAUUGUGCACAACCUUGUGCUGAGACAACGGAAAACCGCCAUCUUAUUGCUCACUCAAUGCCUCCAUAACACCAAUUUUUCACUCCCGGGCUUUGCAGCAGCCCGGUGUACUUUCCAUAAUACGCCUAUUACACAGGCAUCCUCACUAGCCAUCGCUUACACAAUUACCCGUGUGAUUUUCUCCAUCCCGGCGUGGUUGCCAUCGUCUUCGGUCCCCACCCAGUAUAACUUCGGCGUGCACUUUGAUCGUGACCCCUGAACAGGCACGGCCAGCCCUGGGGUUUUCUGGCGUUAACCGAAGCUGCAGGCAAAAGCAGCGCGAUCUCCGGGAGGAGAGUCCGAACAGGCUGUACGGGAGCCGCAGCACAAGUCUGGACGCAGAGGCUGCGCGCGGGAGCAGGGCUGGCCGCCCUGGCAGGAGCCCGAGCUGCAGGCCUCGGCUGGGAAGUGGGUCCCUCCGUCAUUUCCCCUGCCUCCACGGUCCCCAGCUUGCCUUUGACAGCUCUCUUCUUUGAUCUGUAAAACAGAAGGGAAUUGGGGAUACUUUGAUAUUCUUUAAAAGGCCCUGGGAUUUGCUGCUUUCUCCCCAAAUGAAGGGCUGCUGGAGAGUUUCUGGAAGGAACGUGCUGUCACAUGUAAUCUAAUGAGCUUGGCCUCUUCUUCCAGUGCCCAUUAAUCAAUCAGCCAACACUGAAUGCGUCUAAGUGUGGAUUCUGUGUGCAGCCCGGAAGUAAGGGCAUGGUCUCUGCUUUUAAGGUAUUUAUGGUUUAGCUGGGGAGCUGGGGAUAUACCUGAGUGUAAAACGUGACAAUAGCUAACACUUAGUACUAGGAGAAGGCAAUGGCACCCCACUCCAGUGCUCUUCCCUGGAAAAUCCCAUGGACGGAGGAGCCUGGUAGGCUGCAGUCCAUGGCGUCUCGAAGAGUCAGACUCGACUGAAGCGACUUAGCAGCAACAGCAGCAGCACUGAGUACUAACUAGGUACCAGUUUCUGUGUGGCGCUUUCUUUUAUUCCUCAAAACACGCCAUCAAAUAGGUACUGUAAUAUCAUCCUCAUUUUACAGAGGUUUUGGCCAGAGCCCAGGUCACAGGGCAGGGGCAGUCAGGCUGUGUGCAUCAGGUCUGGCCUGCUUCAGAGGAGGGAGCUGCUUGUGCAGGCCAAGUCUGUUGAACAUCCAGUAAUGAUGAUCGGUCAGUGCCUUUGACCUCAUCCUCUCCGCUCUGGUUCAGAGGCUGUCCUUGCCCUCUCGCUCUGGAGAGCAGGAAACGUGUCCCAAGGAACCUUUUUAGCCACCAGUGCCCUUUGGGAUGCUUCACACUGUUCUGUUUCUUCUUCCUCUGUCUUUUCUUGCUCAACAAUCACAGUCCAGUUCAUUUUUCCCUAGGUAACAUUAACCUUAUACAUAUGUCUUGUUAGUCCCUUGUGAUUAUAUUAUCCAAAUAGAGAGAAGGGACCUAAUUCAAAACAAAUAAAUGUACAAAGCAUGUGAAGCAGAACUUCAUCUCAAUGCCGUGGGACUCGGUGAUGUCUUGGGUUCCUUCCUCUGACUUUGAAUCAUUCCUUCCCUCUCUG
ensembl:lncRNA